rnacentral:rRNA from 1 species
UGGGUGGAUUAGUGGCGAACGGGUGAGUAACACGUGAGUAACCUGCCCUUAACUCUGGGAUAAGCCUGGGAAACUGGGUCUAAUACCGGAUAGGAGCGUCCACCGCAUGGUGGGUGUUGGAAAGAUUUAUCGGUUUUGGAUGGACUCGCGGCCUAUCAGCUUGUUGGUGAGGUAAUGGCUCACCAAGGCGACGACGGGUAGCCGGCCUGAGAGGGUGACCGGCCACACUGGGACUGAGACACGGCCCAGACUCCUACGGGAGGCAGCAGUGGGGAAUAUUGCACAAUGGGCGCAAGCCUGAUGCAGCGACGCCGCGUGAGGGAUGACGGCCUUCGGGUUGUAAACCUCUUUCAGUAGGGAAGAAGCGAAAGUGACGGUACCUGCAGAAGAAGCACCGGCUAACUACGUGCCAGCAGCCGCGGUAAUACGUAGGGUGCGAGCGUUAUCCGGAAUUAUUGGGCGUAAAGAGCUCGUAGGCGGUUUGUCGCGUCUGUCGUGAAAGUCCGGGGCUUAACCCCGGAUCUGCGGUGGGUACGGGCAGACUAGAGUGCAGUAGGGGAGACUGGAAUUCCUGGUGUAGCGGUGGAAUGCGCAGAUAUCAGGAGGAACACCGAUGGCGAAGGCAGGUCUCUGGGCUGUAACUGACGCUGAGGAGCGAAAGCAUGGGGAGC